rnacentral:misc_RNA from 1 species
AACGCACAUUGCGCCCGCCAGUAUUCUGGCGGGCAUGCCUGUCUGAGCGUCAUUUCAACCCUCACGCCCCUAGGGCGUGGUGUUGGGGAUCGGCCAAGGCCCGCAAGGGACGGCCGGCCCCUAAAUCUAGUGGCGGACCCGUCGUGGCCUCCCCUGCGAAGUAGUGAUAUUCCGCAUCGGACAGCGACGAGCCCCAGCCGUUAAACCCCCCAAAUUUUACAAGGUUGACCUCAGAUCAGGUAGGAAUACCCGCUGAACUUAA